rfam:Myotis brandtii contig307921, whole genome shotgun sequence.
GGUGGUUCUCAGGUGACACCCCCCAGAAUUGGGCUCCCUCCUUUCUGUUUCCAGGCAUGUCACCCAAGAACCUCA